UGAGGAAUAUUGGACAAUGGGUGGAAGCCUGAUCCAGCCAUCCCGCGUGCAGGAAGACGGCCUUAUGGGUUGUAAACUGCUUUUAUACAGGAAUAAACCACUUUACGAGUAGAGUGUUGAAGGUACUGUAUGAAUAAGCAUCGGCUAACUCCGUGCCAGCAGCCGCGGUAAUACGGAGGAUGCGAGCGUUAUCCGGAUUUAUUGGGUUUAAAGGGUCCGUAGGCGGACAUAUAAGUCAGUGGUGAAAUCCGACAGCUUAACUGUCGAACUGCCUUUGAAACUGUAUGUCUUGAGUAAGAUUGAAGCAGCUGGAAUGUGUGGUGUAGCGGUGAAAUGCAUAGAUAUCACACAGAACACCGAUAGCGUAGGCAGGUUGCUAAGUCUUUACUGACGCUGAUGGACGAAAGCGUGGGGAGCAAACAG
rnacentral:rRNA from 1 species